rnacentral:rRNA from 1 species
AUGGUGGACAAGCCGAGCCGGGCGCUGGUGUUGUACGCCGCCGGCCAUGCGGCGCUGCUCGCUGGGGGCGGAGGGGGGAAGGUCCAGCUCGACGCGUUCGCCUCCAUAGCCUCAUGCGGCUUCCUCUCCGUCCGCACCCUCGCGCGGACCGCCGGCCCCCGGCCCCAGGGCUCGUACAUCCAGCCGGCCACCGGCGACCUGCUCGCCGGUGAGUAUGUGCAGCAGCCUGAAGAGGCGCCUGUAGGCAGGGGAAGCCACCGGAUCUUGCAGCGCAGCGCAGUUGAGAUAACUAGCACAUGCUCACCACUCUUUAUGAAACAACAUAUCAGAUACUUCUUGAUUUGCUUGCCAACUAAAUGGUGCAAAUUACUUCAUGUACAGGGGAAUGUCCAGGAUGCGUCCGAAUUUGAUCUGGUGUUUGUGCAUGCCGUAAUGGAGAACACAGCCAGCAAGCUUGGGAAAUUAGGGAUGAAGACGAAUCUCAACCGGCUUGACAAAUUGGUGGCUUCAGUCAUGGAAGCUGCGCCGGAAUCAUCAUCCAAUGCUACUGGCACAGUGGCAACAAGGAGUACACGUUCUGAUUUGGCCAAGGAGUUAUCUUUUGAGGAAUUUAUAAAGGUAUGUGACAGAUUUAUUGCCCGUAAGCUUGUGCAACGGUUUUGUGACAAAGCCCUUGCGUUUGGUCUAAAGGGCUAUGCAAAGCUAUUCAUGAACUUUGUUAUCUUUGAAAACGUGAAAGUUAUCAAGCACAUUGGCAUCAACAUGUACCACAUUGUUUUUCCGUGUCAUUCUUCUGAAGAAUCUGAAGUUUCUAAAUCUCUGUUGGUAAUGCUGCAGGCUUGUGGUGGCGACACUGACGGUCGUCGAGAGAUUCGUGGACUGGAUGGUGUCGUGGCUGCCGAUGGAUUCCUUCGUCCACUGGUGGUGAGGCACGAGCACGACAUCGAUCGAGGCCUGCUGGAGCUGAGGGUCAGGGCGAGGGACGUGACGGCAUCACAACUCAAGGCGGCGGCCGCCGUUGGUCAGGUGUGGCUCGCAAGGUUGCUCGGUGUGUUUCAUCGCAGCUGCAGGCCACAUGAUCAGGCCGGGCAGGCUUUGCACAUUGACUAG